GUUAAGCGACUAAGCGUACACGGUGGAUGCCCUGGCAGUCAGAGGCGAUGAAGGGCGUGCUAAUCUGCGAUAAGCGCCGGUAAGGUGAUAUGAACCGUUAUAACCGGCGAUACCCGAAUGGGGAAACCCAGUGUGAUUCGUCACACUAUCAUUAACUGAAUCCAUAGGUUAAUGAGGCGAACCGGGGGAACUGAAACAUCUAAGUACCCCGAGGAAAAGAAAUCAACCGAGAUUCCCCCAGUAGCGGCGAGCGAACGGGGAGGAGCCCAGAGCCUGAAUCAGCAUGUGUGUUAGUGGAAGCGUCUGGAAAGGCGCGCGAUACAGGGUGACAGCCCCGUACACAAAAGCGCAUGUGCUGUGAGCUCGAUGAGUAGGGCGGGACACGUGGUAUCCUGUCUGAAUAUGGGGGGACCAUCCUCCAAGGCUAAAUACUCCUGACUGACCGAUAGUGAACCAGUACCGUGAGGGAAAGGCGAAAAGAACCCCGGCGAGGGGAGUGAAAAAGAACCUGAAACCGUGUACGUACAAGCAGUGGGAGCACCCUUCGGGGUGUGACUGCGUACCUUUUGUAUAAUGGGUCAGCGACUUAUAUUCUGUAGCAAGGUUAACCGUAUAGGGGAGCCGCAGGGAAACCGAGUCUUAACCGGGCGUUAAGUUGCAGGGUAUAGACCCGAAACCCGGUGAUCUAGCCAUGGGCAGGUUGAAGGUUGGGUAACACUAACUGGAGGACCGAACCGACUAAUGUUGAAAAAUUAGCGGAUGACCUGUGGCUGGGGGUGAAAGGCCAAUCAAACCGGGAGAUAGCUGGUUCUCCCCGAAAGCUAUUUAGGUAGCGCCUCGUGAAUUCAUCUCCGGGGGUAGAGCACUGUUUCGGCUAGGGGGCCAUCCCGGCUUACCAACCCGAUGCAAACUGCGAAUACCGGAGAAUGUUAUCACGGGAGACACACGGCGGGUGCUAACGUCCGUCGUGAAGAGGGAAACAACCCAGACCGCCAGCUAAGGUCCCAAAGUCAUGGUUAAGUGGGAAACGAUGUGGGAAGGCCCAGACAGCCAGGAUGUUGGCUUAGAAGCAGCCAUCAUUUAAAGAAAGCGUAAUAGCUCACUGGUCGAGUCGGCCUGCGCGGAAGAUGUAACGGGGCUAAACCAUGCACCGAAGCUGCGGCAGCGACGCUUAUGCGUUGUUGGGUAGGGGAGCGUUCUGUAAGCCUGCGAAGGUGGCCUGUGAGGGUUGCUGGAGGUAUCAGAAGUGCGAAUGCUGACAUAAGUAACGAUAAAGCGGGUGAAAAGCCCGCUCGCCGGAAGACCAAGGGUUCCUGUCCAACGUUAAUCGGGGCAGGGUGAGUCGACCCCUAAGGCGAGGCCGAAAGGCGUAGUCGAUGGGAAACGGGUUAAUAUUCCCGUACUUGGUGUUACUGCGAAGGGGGGACGGAGAAGGCUAUGUUGGCCGGGCGACGGUUGUCCCGGUUUAAGCGUGUAGGUGUGUGUUCCAGGUAAAUCCGGUUCACUUUAACACUGAGGCGUGACGACGAGGCACUACGGUGCUGAAGCAACAAAUGCCCUGCUUCCAGGAAAAGCCUCUAAGCAUCAGGUAACAUCAAAUCGUACCCCAAACCGACACAGGUGGUCAGGUAGAGAAUACCAAGGCGCUUGAGAGAACUCGGGUGAAGGAACUAGGCAAAAUGGUGCCGUAACU
rnacentral:rRNA from 1 species